GACGAACGCUGGCGGCGUGCUUAACACAUGCAAGUCGAACGAAGAGCGAUGGAAGCUUGCUUCUAUCAAUCUUAGUGGCGAACGGGUGAGUAACGCGUAAUCAACCUGCCCUUCAGAGGGGGACAACAGUUGGAAACGACUGCUAAUACCGCAUACGAUCUGACCUCGGCAUCGAGGAUGGAUGAAAGGUGGCCUCUAUUUAUAAGCUAUCACUGAAGGAGGGGAUUGCGUCUGAUUAGCUAGUUGGAGGGGUAACGGCCCACCAAGGCGAUGAUCAGUAGCCGGUCUGAGAGGAUGAACGGCCACAUUGGGACUGAGACACGGCCCAGACUCCUACGGGAGGCAGCAGUGGGGAAUCUUCCGCAAUGGACGAAAGUCUGACGGAGCAACGCCGCGUGAGUGAUGACGGCCUUCGGGUUGUAAAGCUCUGUUAAUCGGGACGAAAGGCCUUCUUGCGAAUAGUUAGAAGGAUGACGG
rnacentral:rRNA from 1 species